UUCCGGUUGAUCCUGCCAGAGGCCACUGCUAUCGGAGUUCGAUUAAGCCAUGCGAGUCGAGAGGUGCAAGACCUCGGCAUACUGCUCAGUAACACGUGGACAAUCUAACCUAAGGUGGGGGAUAACCCCGGGAAACUGGGGAUAAUACCCCAUAGGCUAUAGAUGCUGGAAUGCGCUGUAGCCGAAAGGUCCGCCGCCUUAGGAUGGGCCUGCGGCCGAUUAGGUUGUUGUUGGGGUAACGGCCCAACAAGCCUGUAAUCGGUACGGGUUGUGGGAGCAAGAGCCCGGAGAUGGAUUCUGAGACACGAAUCCAGGCCCUACGGGGCGCAGCAGGCGCGAAAACUUUACAAUGCGGGAAACCGUGAUAGGGGAACUCCGAGUGCCCGUUAAAUCGGGCUGUCCACCAGUUUAAAUAACUGGUGAGGAAAGGGCCGGGCAAGACCGGUGCCAGCCGCCGCGGUAAUACCGGCGGCUCGAGUGGUGGCCACUAUUACUGGGCUUAAAGCGUUCGUAGCUGGUUUGUUAAGUCUCUGGGGAAAUCUUCCGGCUUAACCGGAAGGCGUCUCAGGGAUACUGGCAGACUAGGGACCGGGAGAGGUGAGGGGUACUCCAGGGGUAGGAGUGAAAUCCUGUAAUCCUUGGGGGACCACCUGUGGCGAAGGCGCCUCACCAGAACGGCUCCGACAGUGAGGGACGAAAGCUGGGGGAGCAAACCGGAUUAGAUACCCGGGUAGUCCCAGCCGUAAACUAUGCGCGUUAGGUGUAUCGGUGACCACGAGUCACCGAGGUGCCGAAGAGAAAUCGUGAAACGUGCCGCCUGGGAAGUACGGUCGCAAGGCUGAAACUUAAAGGAAUUGGCGGG
rnacentral:rRNA from 1 species